GUCGAACGGAGUUAAACUCGACACCCGAGUAUCCGGCCGGGAGGCGGGGUGCUGGGGGUUGGAUUUAACUUAGUGGCGGACGGGUGAGUAACGCGUGAGUAACCUGCCUUUCAGAGGGGGAUAACGUUCUGAAAAGAACGCUAAUACCGCAUAACAUCAAUUUAUCGCAUGAUAGGUUGAUCAAAGGAGCAAUCCGCUGGAAGAUGGACUCGCGUCCGAUUAGCCAGUUGGCGGGGUAACGGCCCACCAAAGCGACGAUCGGUAGCCGGACUGAGAGGUUGAACGGCCACAUUGGGACUGAGACACGGCCCAGACUCCUACGGGAGGCAGCAGUGGGGGAUAUUGCACAAUGGGGGAAACCCUGAUGCAGCAACGCCGCGUGAGGGAAGAAGGUUUUCGGAUUGUAAACCUCUGUUCUUAGUGACGAUAAUGACGGUAGCUAAGGAGAAAGCUCCGGCUAACUACGUGCCAGCAGCCGCGGUAAUACGUAGGGAGCGAGCGUUGUCCGGAUUUACUGGGUGUAAAGGGUGCGUAGGCGGCGAGGCAAGUCAGGCGUGAAAUCUAUGGGCUUAACCCAUAAACUGCGCUUGAAACUGUCUUGCUUGAGUGAAGUAGAGGUAGGCGGAAUUCCCGGUGUAGCGGUGAAAUGCGUAGAGAUCGGGAGGAACACCAGUGGCGAAGGCGGCCUACUGGGCUUUAACUGACGCUGAAGCACGAAAGCAUGGGUAGCAAACAGGAUUAGAUACCCUGGUAGUCCAUGCCG
rnacentral:rRNA from 1 species